rnacentral:Y_RNA from 1 species
GGCUGGUCCGAAGGUAGUGAGUUAUCUCAAUUAAUUCUUCACAGUCAGUUACAGAUCGAAUACCUUGUUCUACUCUUUCCCCCCUUCUCACUACUGCACUCGACUAGUCUUUA